UAGAGUUUGAUCCUGGCUCAGGNUNAACNCGUGUCGCGCGAGGCGUUAAUANNUGCAAAUCUAGGGGCANCUGCGAAGNNNAUUAUUUGGUGGCGACCGGCGGACGGGUGACUAACGCGUACCCAACCUACCUUAUACANGAGCAUAGCCCCNCAGAAACUGGGAGUAAUACUCCAUAACAUUGCGGAAUCGCAUGAUUCUGCAAUUAAAACUCCGGUGGUAUAAGAUGGGGGUGCGUUCCAUUAGUUAGUUGGUAGGGUAACGGCCUACCAAGACGAUGAUGGAUAGCUGGCGUGAGAGCGCGACCAGCCACACUGGAACUGAGACACGGUCCAGACUCCUACGGGAGGCAGCAGUAGGGAAUAUUGGUCAAUGGAGGAAACUCUGAACCAGCCAUCCCGCGUGCAGGAUGAAGGCCCUCUGGGUCGUAAACUGCUUUUCUUAGGGAAGAAACGCUUGGAUUUAUCCGAGUCUGACGGUACCUAAGGAAUAAGCACCGGCUAACUCCGUGCCAGCAGCCGCGGUAAUACGGAGGGUGCAAGCGUUAUCCGGAUUUACUGGGUUUAAAGGGUGCGCAGGCGGAUUUUUAAGUCAGUGGUGAAAGCCCGGAGCUCAACUCCGGAAUUGCCAUUGAUACUGAAAGUCUUGAGUACAGUUGANGUAGGCGGAAUGUGUCAUGUANCGGUGAAAUGCUUANAUAUGACACAGAACACCGAUUGCGAAGGCAGCUUACUAAACUGUAACUGACGCUCAGGCACGAAAGCGUGGGUAGCGAANAGGAUUANAUACCCUGGUAGUCCACGCCCUAA
rnacentral:rRNA from 1 species